GAUGAAGAACGUAGCAAAAUGCGAUAAGUAAUGUGAAUUGCAGAAUUCAGUGAAUCAUCGAAUCUUUGAACGCACAUUGCGCCCGCUGGUAUUCCGGCGGGCAUGCCUGUUCGAGCGUCAUUUCAACCCUCAAGCCCCCGGGUUUGGUGUUGGGGAUCGGCUCUGCCCUUCUGGGCGGUGCCGCCCCCGAAAUACAUUGGCGGUCUCGCUGCAGCCUCCAUUGCGUAGUAGCUAACACCUCGCAACUGGAACGCGGCGCGGCCAUGCCGUAAAACCCCAACUUCUGAAUGUUGACCUCGGAUCAGGUAGGAAUACCCGCUGAACUUAAGCAUAUCAAUAGGAGGA
rnacentral:misc_RNA from 1 species